UGAGGGAGGAAGCGGGCAGUGCGUUGCUUCGUGCGUGGCUCAGUGCCUUUCUUUCUUCUGGUGUGCCUCCCGCCCGAGCUUUAGCCAGUGGAGAUGGCAGGGACCUCGGACCAAGUUGGAUGUGGCAGCCAAGCUGUGAGGACACAGGCAGGUGUGUGAGCAGGGUGGUUAGGGCACAGGCAGUGUGCAGGCAUGCAUGGGAAGGGUGGUCUGACAGGCAGACCGGCCCGGCAGAGGGCACGGCAGCACUGCACAGAGCCUGCAGCUGAGAAAUGCUGCUGUGGUUGCUUUCCCUUCCUCCCAGUGCUCACAGUUUAGCCAAAUUCUGCAGCAGAGAGCUGGAGGGGGCGCAGGGAGUUUGUUUGCAUUCCUGUGUCAGAAAAACUCGAUGUUUUUGUCAGCUUUGUCCUGCGGAGCCAGGACUCAUCCGUAAUACUCCUGCUGCUUCUGUGUGCUGUCAGAUUUGCAGGUAGAAGGCAAGGGCACUGAGGCCACAAGACAAUGUACUGUGAACUAGGAACUGUGGGAAGGAGGAAGGAUGCAGUGGGCCCUUCCCUGCCCCCCAGCAGACGUAAGGCUCACGCAACUGUCCUGCACCCCUUGCAGGUACUGGACAGGGAGCAAGGAUGUCACCAAGGUUUCUCUUCUGCUUUGGGACCCCACCAUGUAGGUGUGAGGUCCUGUCACAGGGGAACGCCAGCAGGGAGCUGGGUCCAGCCUUAGGGCUGCCAGAUUCCUCCAGCAGGCAUGGUUAUCCCCGCUGCCAUUUCCUCCUCCCAUUGCAGAAAAACAUGGGAAAUCUUCUCAGGAAUUUUGCUAUUUUAAGCAAGCUUCUCUGUCCCUCCUGAUAUCACAGCUUCCUUAUCCUCACCAGAAUAAUACAAGGACAAUAAUUUUAAUCCUUCACGAAAUGUUGGUAUUAAAGGCUUUGAGCUGCUGGAAAAGUGCCUGUCCGUAACAAUGGGGUUAAUGCGACUGUGGGACUCAUCCAGCCUCCACAUAAACCUGCACAGAUUUGUGCCACGUAUAGCUGGGACUGUCCCGAGCCAUAGAGCACAGCCCCUGCCCUCACCAGGACUAGGCAGGCUGUUAUUCUGUGCGUUUGAUAGAAGCAGGUGCCCUCUUGCAGGGUUUAAUACAAGGAAAAUAUAAUAAUAGUUAUACCUGCAGGAGGUUAUAUAUCAUAACACAUCCAGUGUCUUUACAGGUCAGUUUUACAACAGUUGCAUUUCUCAAUCCCUGUAAUUUAAUCUGAUGGUUAACUUCAUGACUUAGUUCUUUACUACGCCUCUGAGCUUCUUCCUCAGUACGCUGAUGUGUAGUGACUCAAAAUUAUGGCAUUCAGUGCACGUACAUCCAGAAUCCUGUUACUGGGCAUUUAAAUACAUGGGGGUUACUUGUGUUCCAUCUCUGAUCCUGGUAGUGACUGCAUUGAUUCCAGAGUCUGGGGUCGCUGAUAAUGUGUUACCCAAAGUCCCUGCCUUUAUAGUAGUGUCAGUGUGGAAACAAUGUAAUUCACUGAUCUGGAUGCUAAAGAAUGGUGAGUAAUUUUAGGCAUAUAAAGAAUAACACAUGUAAUCUGUCAUUAAAAUCCUUUUAUUUCAUGUGUGUUGGGGAUGUCCAGGUGGCAUGGGGCUGUUCCAAAAAGCUCAUUGCCAAAAAGAUGCUUCCUCAUACCCCCUACCACACCCCUGGUCUAAAGCCGACAGGGUUCCACUGAGCUCAACAGCCACGAUCUACGUCGUCGCUGUCCUUUGGCUCUGGACCUUGUGCCCUACAAAAACAACCCCGAUAAAACCCCAGUGUGCAGUCUAUCUAGCUGUCAGUGCCCGUGCUUUCACUUCACUUUGUGCAAAUAUUGGUUCCAAAUCGCAAAGAGGAGGGGUUUGGCACGUGGGCUUGCAGCGCAGCGCUCCCAAACCAGCAGUACGAGUCUCAGCAACAUGAGCUUGGCAGUGCUUUCACAUUGCUCAGUUGCUAAUCUUCCAAAUUCUUUGCCUUGGGUCUAAUCCCACAAAAUAUGAUUCAAUUUGUCAACAUAGCUACCUUAUGACUAGUGUGUGUUUAGCUGGUCAGCCCAUUUCUUACAGUUGCUAUCAAGUGGAAUAGUGUGCGACAGCAGAAGCGGUUGGAAAAAUAUUUUUCACCCCAGAUAGCUCAGAGGCUGAAACUUACUUGCUGUUUUCCACUGCCCCAGCUUGCAAGAUUACACUGUACAAUACAGUGCCUGUAGUUAAGGUGCAUUUAUAAUACUGUUUCACAUUGACUGCAUUUUUCGUUCCCUAUAAUUUACAUAGCUGAAGGUUAACUUCACAGCUUAAUUCUGUAUUAUCCCUUCUAGUUUCCUGCUUGAGACAGGAAUAAAUCUAAGCCCAUUUCUGUUUAGCAGAGUGUGUUUAUUGUUCAUCAUAGCAAGCUGAACAUAUUUCACCUAGCGUCCCCAUCUCCAGCAUGUCUGGCUGGGUAAUCAGUCUCAUGUGUGUGUGGACACCAUGUGUGGCAGCAUGCUGUUGGGACAGAGGUGACUUUCCCUUGAGAACCUCAUAGUUUGGCCCUGUGUUCCCCCCAAAAAGAGAUGAUUUGGCAGGCAGGGACAGUCUUGUACCCAAGUGUCAAUCUGGGCAGAGUACAGAGAAGCCAUUCCUGAAUAAUAAAUGUUUUUAAAGCACCAAUUUCUGUUCCUCGGGAUAUGGAGUUGUGGGACAUUGACUCAACUCCUAGCUCAGCUAAGCAGGGCAAGUCUGAAUUCAUGCCUGUCUUUUAGGCUGCCCACUGACGCCACCCAGACAUUUCUCCUUUCCUGUGGGCUCCGUGUCCUUUAUCACUCAGCUCAGAAGGGACAGCACUGUCUCCACAGCCUCGUGGACCGAGAAAG
rnacentral:lncRNA from 1 species